GACGAACGCUGGCGGCGUGCUUAACACAUGCAAGUCGAGCGGAAAGGCCCUUCGGGGUACUCGAGCGGCGAACGGGUGAGUAACACGUGAGUAACCUGCCCCAGACUUUGGGAUAACCCUCGGAAACGGGGGCUAAUACCGGAUACGACACAGCUUCGCAUCGGGUCUGUGUGGAAAGUUUUUCGGUGUGGGAUGGGCUCGCGGCCUGUCAGCUUGUUGGUGGGCUGAUGGCAUACCAAGGCGACGACGGGUAGCCGGCCUGAGAGGGCGACAGGCCAAACUGGGACUGAAACACGGCACAGACUCCUACGGGAGGCAGAAGUGGGGAAUAUUGCACAAUGGGCGGAAGCCUGAUGCAGCGACGCCGCGUGAGGGAUGACGGCCUUCGGGUUGUAAACCUCUUUCAGCAGGGACGAAGCGUAAGUGACGGUACCUGCAGAAGAAGCGCCGGCCAACUACGUG
rnacentral:rRNA from 1 species